GGGGCUGUAGGGUAGUCUGGUUAUCCUAUGAGACUGGGGGUCUUGUGACCGGAGUUCAAAUCUCCGCAGCCCCA
rnacentral:tRNA from 1 species